CGGGGCCGAGAGCGCGGGCUGCGAGCCCCGUAACAAUGGCCCUUUGUCCAGCUGUGGCCGCUUCCCCCUCCGCAGCCAGGCCUUAUCUGCUCAGGAAAUGCCUGCUUUAACUGACAGGGAGAAAGGAAAUAAAUGGGCGACUUUCAGCCUUGGCAGCUGUAAAUCUGUUACCAGGAUGAAGAAGGCAGAUGUACAGAUGUGCUGUUCUGUGGAGCUAUUCUGAUUUGCAGAGAUGGAAAAAAGCAAAUGUUCUGGGUGGAGAACACUAAGAGACUGGUGAGAGUUUGCUACAGAUGCUCCAUCUACCUCCCUGAUUCCCACAAAAUCAGCAUGCUGGAGCAGAAGUGAAAUAGGAUCCUGCCCUCAGACCACAGAGCUGCUCCCUGCCAUGGGUGAUGUGGAAAGCAGCCACCGAGGAGAAGCCACAGGGAGCUGGGGGAACAACUGGACUUCUGCUGUAGAAGGGCAACAGUGCAGCAGACUGAAAUGAGAACAAGAUUUGUGUUUCCUGGAAAUCCCAGCCUCAGCACUUCUGCUACCUUCAUUUCUUAAGUAUAAUUUCCCCUCCUAUAAAUAUUUAUCUAGAGCAGAGGAAUCACAUAAAACAGCAAGAAGCUGGUGACAAAGGUAUUUUGGCCACUCAAAUCCACUGUUUCUCUUUUGGCAAAAACCCUCUUGGUCUCCUUCCCUAACAUCUUCUGAGCACACUUAUUCUGUUAUAAACAGAGAAAGCUAAGUAAAAUGUUUUUAUGAUAAAAAAAUGACAGGAAUGUAUAAAGGUUGGUUUGGAAAUAAACAAUCACAUAGUUUUAGUGAAAACUGUUCAGAUUAACUCAGAAGGAAUUUGCAGUCACAUAUUAACAGCUUGUAAUUGUGCAUACAGGGAGACCAAGGCUGUCAUUUCCUUAAUCUCUCACUGUCACAUGGAAAUAACUCUGUAAGUUUCUUCAGUUAAAAUUCACUUUUGUAAGAGAAAUCAACACAAAAUUCAUAUGUAUUUUUAAGUCUUACAUAUGACCUCAAAGAGGCAAAUUAAGGUCUAGGUGAUUCUGGGGCUGGGUGAAGGCAAAGGAUCACAAGAAGAUGGAGUGAAGCAACUCUCACAGAUCACUACAGCAAUGCUUGUAAUGGAGCUCAAACCCCUUUCAGGAUCCUGGUGUUCAAACAGAUCUGGAUCAAUCUCCCAGGCAAGUCAAUAAAAUACAGUGAGUGAGGGCGGCAGGAGCAGACCUUGUGUGUGAGUGAA